rnacentral:rRNA from 1 species
GGAAUCUUCCACAAUGGACGAAAGUCUGAUGGAGCAACGCCGCGUGAGUGAAGAAGGUUUUCGGAUCGUAAAACUCUGUUAUCGGAGAAGAACGUACUUGGUAGUAACUGGCCAGGUAGUGACGGUAUCCGAUCAGAAAGCCACGGCUAACUACGUGCCAGCAGCCGCGGUAAUACGUAGGUGGCAAGCGUUAUCCGGAUUUAUUGGGCGUAAAGCGAGCGCAGGCGGUCUUUUAAGUCUAAUGUGAAAGCCUUCGGCUCAACCGAAGAAGUGCAUUGGAAACUGGGAGACUUGAGUGCAGAAGAGGACAGUGGAACUCCAUGUGUAGCGGUGAAAUGCGUAGAUAUAUGGAAGAACACCAGUGGCGAAGGCGGCUGUCUGGUCUGCAACUGACGCUGAGGCUCGAAAGCAUGGGUAGCGAACA